rnacentral:rRNA from 1 species
AUUGAACGCUGGCGGCAUGCUUUACACAUGCAAGUCGAACGGUAACAGGCCGCAAGGUGCUGACGAGUGGCGAACGGGUGAGUAAUGCAUCGGAACGUGCCCAGUCGUGGGGGAUAACUACUCGAAAGAGUAGCUAAUACCGCAUACGAUCUAUGGAUGAAAGCGGGGGACCGUAAGGCCUCGCGCGAUUGGAGCGGCCGAUGUCAGAUUAGGUAGUUGGUGGGGUAAAGGCUCACCAAGCCAACGAUCUGUAGCUGGUCUGAGAGGACGACCAGCCACACUGGGACUGAGACACGGCCCAGACUCCUACGGGAGGCAGCAGUGGGGAAUUUUGGACAAGGGGCGCAAGCCUGAUCCAGCAAUGCCGCGUGCAGGAAGAAGGCCUUCGGGUUUUAAACUGCUUUUGUACGGAACGAAACGGCUCUGGUUAAUACCCGGGGCUAAUGACGGUACCGUAAGAAUAAGCACCGGCUAACUACGUG